UGCACAACAUGAGAAAGGACAUGUUUUAAAAAAAGCAGAGUUUUUUGACAAACGGAAUCAGGAUGACGCAAAGCCAAAAAUAAAUGAAGCACAAGAGGAUCUGGAGGAGGCAGAUACAGACACAGGGGGAUCUGCAAACAUAACACAGAAAGACCAAGAGGAGAGGAUACAAGUGACACAGGACGAAAAGGAUGAGAAGACAGAACUGACACAGGGAGACAUGGAGGAGGAGACAGCAGAGAAUACACAACAUGAGAAAGGACAUGUUUUAAAAAAAGCAGAGUUUUUUGACAAAUGGAAUCAGGAUGACUCAAAGACAAAAAUAAAUGAAGCACAAGAGGAUCUGAAGGAGGCAGAUACAGACACAGGGGGUUCUGCAAACAUAACACAGAAAGACAAGGAGGAGAGGACACAAGUGAGACAGGACGAAAAGGAUGAGAAGACAGAACUGACACAGGGAGACAUAGAGGAGAAAACAGUGGCGAAUGCACAACAUGGGAAAGGUAACAUGAAGGUGUAUAGUACUUUAGGUC